GGGCCCAUAGCUCAGCGGUAGAGCAGGUGACUCAUAAUCACUUGGCCGGAGGUUCGAUCCCUCCUGGGCCCA
rnacentral:tRNA from 1 species